rnacentral:rRNA from 1 species
UACGUAGGUGACAAGCGUUGUCCGGAUUUACUGGGCGUAAAGGGCGUGCAGGCGGUUUGUUAAGUGCAGGGUGAAAGCUCCCGGCUCAACUGGGAGAGGUCCUUGCAUACUGGCAAACUCGAGGGAGGCAGAGGAAAGUGGAAUUCCCGGUGUAGUGGUGAUAUGCGUAGAUAUCGGGAGGAACACCUGUGGCGAAGGCGGCUUUCUGGGCCUUACCUGACGCUGAGACGCGAAAGCGUGGGGAGCGAACGGG